rnacentral:rRNA from 1 species
AACGAACGCUGGCGGCAUGCCUAACACAUGCAAGUCGAACGAGACCUUCGGGUCUAGUGGCGCACGGGUGCGUAACGCGUGGGAACCUGCCCUUAGGUUCGGAAUAACUCCCCGAAAGGGGUGCUAAUACCGGAUAAUGUCUUCGGACCAAAGAUUUAUCGCCUUUGGAUGGGCCCGCGUUGGAUUAGCUAGUUGGUAGGGUAAAAGCCUACCAAGGCGACGAUCCAUAGCUGGUCUGAGAGGAUGAUCAGCCACACUGGGACUGAGACACGGCCCAGACACCCCAGGGAGGGGGAGGGGGGGGAAAUUUGGGACAGUGGGAAAACCCGUGACCCAGCAAGGCCGGGAGGGUGAUGAGGGUUGUGGGUGUAUAAAGCUUUUUUACCGGGGAUGAAAGAGAGAGUCGGGGGAGAAAGGGCCGGGGAUAACUCC